CGCAACAAACAGAACGAAACAACGUAUUAUUUUUGGAAACAAUACAUUAUAACGGCUAAAAGUUAGUCUGGCAAAUUGUAGCGAACUAUUCGGUCGUGGCGACCCUCUUCGGGAAAGCUGUGGUUAUUGCUUUGUCAGACUCACACGUCACUAACCCAAUGCGAAGCAUAAAUGUAUUUGAUUACGACCAGCUGACGUAUCCAAAGAUGGGCUACAUUAAAUUCAGGCUUAGUACAUAAGACAGGUUUUAUACAGCCACAGCAAAUUUUGGAUGCGAGUGCGGCACAGGCGAGGUCGGUUUCCCCACGAAUCUGACGGUCUACCUCACCUGCCUUGGCUGUAGUAGAACAUGUAGUGGUACGGAUGGACUUUAAAGCAGAUUCCUGUCGUCCAUGUGGAGCUAAAUCGGUUGCACGCUCUGGUUGUACUUAUAUAAAAACAAUCUGAUAAUGAUUGGCAAAAGGCUACUGCAUCGAAUCCAUGCCGUCAAGUAUUUUUUGCAUUACCUAUUUUAUGUACAAGUAAUCCAAAAAAAUAUAUUGUUUUGUCAACUAGAAA